rnacentral:lncRNA from 1 species
CGCGGCGUUAUUGCCUCCGCCAGGUCACCCAGCACCGCGCUGUCCCCUGUGCCUACGUUCCGUGCCAUCUGUGUGUGGACCAGGGCGUAAAGGAAAACCACACAGCAACUCUACACCCCUGCCAUGGCUGGGGCCCUCAGCUGGGUCGCUACACUAAGGAGGGUUAUCUUUUCCUGGGUCCUCUGGGAAGCAGUGGCGAAGGUAUCGUGGUGUGGUGGGUACGGACUAAAUUAAACUCGACGACGACGUANNNNNNNNNNNNNNNNNNNNNNNNCGCCUUUUGCCUUUGAUCNCUAAAUGAUCUUUAUUUUUUUAUUGCUCCUUGAAGAAUAAAGCAAUCAUCAACCGAGCUACAGGACGCUGUCUCGAGGUAGUGCCGGCUAAUGUCUACUUCGGCUAUGCUCUGAUCCUGCGUUCCUGCACUGGCCAGAAGUGGACCAUCAAGAAUCUGAUGAAACAGGACUAAGGGUAGUGAGUCAGUGACCUUGGAAAGUUGGGAAUCUCUAUGGCCUUCAUAACCUGUUUAGGAACUUGAAAAUGGAUCCAGUUUUGUCCAACUCAAGGGGUGCUGAUCAUGUUUGCGUUUUUUUGGGGGCUUUUGGUCUUAAUACAUUCCACAGUACAGAAAAAUAAAUAAAAGACACUUGAAGCACCACAUGCAGUAGGUUCAUCAGAUCUCCACCUUCUCGAGAACCUCUAGACAUCCUUUCAAAAAGGACAGUUCUCUGAGGAACAUUGGCUCCAUCCAUACUUUAAUAUAGAAGCAUUACAAUACUGAUCUCUGAUGGUCCGCAGAAUGAAAGCUUUCCAUCUUUCUUUUUCUGCUCUUUGGUGUACUGUAUACCAUGAUGCUGGUAAUAACCAAUUAAUUAACAGCCACUGAAUAUUUAUAAAAUUGCACUUUCUGAUUAUCUUCUUUAGAUUUAUUAAACCUAUUUACACUUUCAAGAGAUUAACAACAUGAUCAUGACAAUUUACUUUUUAGAAUUAAUUACACAAAUAUACAUAUUUUUUGCGCCAUGUCAGAAAGUAGAGAGAUGCAGUUUUUUUAGGGGUACUUGCUGAAUUUUUGAUCCUCAUUUCCGACCACUGAAAUGUAUAAUAACAAAAAAA